CUUUGUUUUGUUUUCUUUCUUUUCAUUUCCCCCUCCCUUUCCCCUUUCCCCGCUCUGCCCAGCGGGAUGCAGCCAAUGGCCCCAAUGGACAGACAACGGAUGGACAACGGGACGCGGCUGCUUGGUUCCAUGAGCAACACGAGUUUUGGAAGAGCGUGCCCUCCACGCCGCGGUGUUUUGCAUUAAAAGGUCCGGGGUACGGAUAGUGUUGCAGCAGCAUCUUCAAAGUCUCAUGGCUUUCAAACACAGCCGUGCACACAUGAGCCCCUCCCUCGCGGCCGUCCCUGUCUCGCAUUACGCUGGCAUUUUCUUUGGGGAUGAACAGGGGAGAGACUCCGGCGUAGUUUAUUUUCCUUCCGAGCAGGGAGGAGAGAACGCGCAAAAUGCUCCUAAUGGAGCAAAGCGAGCAAGAGGAGCCCAAAGGCGCGGUCUCAUAUCGAACAAAGGGCGGAUGGGAACAAGAAAGGAAGGGAAAAAAGCAUCACCUGUUCCCAUACAGUCUUAGCGAGAUCGCGGUCAUUAUCUCGGCAGCCUCACAUUUCUAAAGGGGCUUCGUUUGUCUUUUCAAACACUGGCAUCUUGUUAAAA
ensembl:lncRNA